GCGAGUAUAGUUCAGUGGUAGAACCUUAGACUGCCAGUCUAAUUACGCGGGUUCGAUUCCCGUUACUCGCUCCA
rnacentral:tRNA from 1 species